CUGGAAAAUAAAGAUGUCUUGUCCUGCUGGUGUUUUCUUUCCAGAAACCUGAGCUGAUAAUCAUUACAACUGCAGCUGCAAAAUUAUGACACCAGAUUCUUUGAGCAUACCAUGCUGUUUACCUGAACUGACUUGUGGGAAGCUGAGAGAAAAAUGAGGGUCUGCUGCAGGUGCUAGCUGAAAUCAAUGGCAAACAACCUUUUUCCUCCAUAAUCAUUGCAAGCAUGGAAAAUGUAGAUAACCAGAGAAGUACAGUCUUUCUGAGCAUCCGAAAUUUACCUGGAAUGAGUUUGCAGAAUGACCCAGACCAAACUGCAUCAUGCCCUGGUAGGGUGGAUGUGACCUACCCAGCCUUCACCUUCAGCUCAGAACUUCAUCCACUGUUGCCAUCAGCAGAACCAUUUCUGGCAACUGUGUAUGUGCUUGUAGCCCAGCCACAAGCAAAAGAAAGUGUUAAGAGCUGAAAUCAGUAGGAACCUUGUAUUUUACUUGCCCUUUGGACUGGUCAAACAGUGCACAGACAGCAGUUCUUUUAGCCUCACCACCCUGAUCUUCCAUACUUGUGUCCAUGCCGUGCACCAUGCAGUAAGAAGAUGCCAAUUGGACUCUACAGUCUGCAAAAUAAUUCUAUAUGAUGUUGCUACACAAAGGGUGGCAGCACAGAGGGAAAUGGAAACAUUAAAGAUGAGAACUGGAAAACUCUUUGCUUUUGUUAGAAUGCUUUUGUCAGAAAUGGCCUGAAGGAACAGAGGAGACGAAUACGCAAUUUCCAAAACAGUAUGGGGAGAUCAAAGGAGGCUGACGUUCUUUCAGAUUGCUGUUGUGGCGGAUCUGCAGGAGGAAAUUGAAGACGAACAUUACUCUAUUUUGGAAGGUGCCAUUAAAAAUGCUGCAUGUUGAAGAAAGCAAUAGACACUGUAGCUUUCAUCCUGUUUUCUUCUUGCCACUGCCCUCCACGUUUCUGUGUUGGCCAUGCUGAGUUUUCCUGAGAUAAAAACCAUCAUUCAGUUCACUUAAAUCAUCCUUACAUUGAACAAAGAUUGAACUGUUUUACCUUCUGAUAUAGUCAAAUGCCUUAGAAGCUCUCCCUGCUCAAUCUCUGCCUUGCCUUGUUGUCUCUUCUAUUGCUAGACUAGUUCAGUGCCUAAGAA